rnacentral:rRNA from 1 species
ACGGGAGGCAGCAGUGAGGAAUAUUGGUCAAUGGGCGGAAGCCUGAACCAGCCAAGUCGCGUGAAGGAUGAAGGUAUUAUGUAUUGUAAACUUCUUUAGACGUAGAGAAAUAAGAGGGUCGUGACCCUUGAUGCUAGUAUACGUAGAAUAAGGAUCGGCUAACUCCGUGCCAGCAGCCGCGGUAAUACGGAGGAUCCGAGCGUUAUCCGGAUUUAUUGGGUUUAAAGGGAGCGUAGGCGGGAAGUCAAGUCAGCUGUGAAAUGUAGACGCUCAACGUCUGCACUGCAGUUGAAACUGGUUUUCUUGAGUGCGUAAGAGGCAGGCGGAAUUCGUCGUGUAGCGGUGAAAUGCUUAGAUAUGACGAAGAACUCCUAUUGCGAAGGCAGCUUGCUGGGCCGCAACUGACGCUGAAGCUCGAAGGUGCGGGUAUCGAACAGGAUUAGAUACCCUGGUA